rnacentral:rRNA from 1 species
GAUUAACGCUGGCGGCGUGCAUAACACAUUCAAGUCGAACGGUGAGGGGGCUUCGGCCCCUGAUCAGUGGCGGACGGGUGAGUAACGCGUGAGCCACCUGCCCUUGUGUGGGGGAUAACGUCUGGAAACGGACGCUAAUACCGCAUAACCCAAUAGUAUCGCAUGAUACAGUUGGCAAAGAUUUAGUGCACAAGGAUGGGCUCGCGUCUGAUUAGGUAGUUGGUGGGGUAACGGGCUACCAAGCCCGCGAUUAGUAGCCGGACUGAGAGGUUGAACGGCCACAUUAGAACUGAGAUACGGUCCAGACGCCUACGGGAGGCAGCAGUGGGGAAUAUUGGGCAAUGGGGGAAACCCUGACCCAGCGACGCCGCGUGAGGGAAGAAGGUCUUCGGAUUGUAAACCUUAAACAACAGGGACGAAGAAAGUGACGGUACCUGUUAGGAAGCCACGGCUAACUACGUGCCAGCCGCCGCCGUAAAAC